UACGGAGGGUGCAAGCGUUAAUCGGAAUUAUUGGGCGUAAAGCGCGCGCAGGUGGUUCCUUAAGUCUGAUGUGAAAGCCCACGGCUCAACCGUGGAGGGUCAUUGGAAACUGGGGAACUUGAGUGCAGAAGAGGAAAGUGGAAUUCCAAGUGUAGCGGUGAAAUGCGUAGAGAUUUGGAGGAACACCAGUGGCGAAGGCGACUUUCUGGUCUGUAACUGACACUGAGGCGCGAAAGCGUGGGGAGCAAACAGG
rnacentral:rRNA from 1 species